rnacentral:rRNA from 1 species
AUUGAACGCUGGCGGCAUGCUUUACACAUGCAAGUCGAACGGUAACAGGCCGCAAGGUGCUGACGAGUGGCGAACGGGUGAGUAAUGCAUCGGAACGUGCCCAGUCGUGGGGGAUAACGCAGCGAAAGCUGCGCUAAUACCGCAUACGAUCUAUGGAUGAAAGCGGGGGACCGUAAGGCCUCGCGCGAUUGGAGCGGCCGAUGUCAGAUUAGGUAGUUGGAGGGGUAAAGGCUCACCAAGCCGACGAUCUGUAGCUGGUCUGAGAGGACGACCAGCCACAGUGGGACUGAGACACGGCCCUGACUCCUACGGGAGGCAGCAGUGGAGAAUUUUGGACAAUGGGCGCAAGCCUGAUCCAGCAAUGCCGCGUGCAGGAAGAAGGCCUUCGGAUUGUAAACUGCUUUUGUACGGAACGAAAAGGCUCUGGUUAAUACCUGGGGCUCAUGACGGUACCGUAAGAAUAAGCACCGGCUAACUACGUGCCAGCCGCCGCCGUAACAC